AUGUAAGUACGAUUAAGAAUAAAAAAAUAAAAAAUUCAGACUUGGUAAAUGUAAUGUGAGUAAUCACAGAGCUGGAUGAUUUGUUUCAGGGCUUUUGUGACCUAUGACCUUUCACCUUUACCUGUAACCUUAGAAUGACCCCUCUGUUUGUUCAUAAGUAAUUCCAGAUUCAACCACAGCCCUCUGCUUCUCUUGAUCAAGCAUGAUGAAAUUCCCAGGGAUGGAGGACGCAGCGUUAACGGUCCCCUCCAUGAGAUAUUUCUUUUUUGAUGAGCUUUGUGCUGAGGCAAGUCUCUGCUGCAGAUAUGCUUCAUCAUAAAUAGUUUUUUUAGUGUUGGUUCUUAAGUGAUGCGUGGAGGAUUCCUGCUGCUGCUGUUCUUGCUUUACUGUUAAGUGGAAGGGGUUGAGAUUGCUCCCUAAUUCCUUCACCGUCGAGUUUUAUUUGAAUAUCUGUCAUGAAAGCUUUAUUGAUUUCUUUAUUUUCUUCUUACACAUUUUGUCUGUUGUUCUGUGUGGUAGUGUUUUUUCCUCCACACAUCCCCAGUCAUGCUGUCUGACUUUUUUUACAAGUAAAUUGGAGAAACGCUGUAGUUCUUGUGCUUUAUCAAAUCCAUCAGCUUGAAACGUGCUCUGAAUCAGCGUUAUACUAGACUGCAGUGUGCUCUUAUUUCUGUAAGUGUGUGUGGAGGUGUAGAUGUUGUGUGAGAGAGGGAAAAUACAUUGAUUGAAGGAAAGAACAGUUUGAACUUAUUACAAAAACGCUUUAAAGCUCUGAAUGCCCCAAAGCACAUUACGCUUAUUGUUUUCAAUGACACACUCUGAAAUCACUCAAAUCUAUGUGUGUAUGUUAAUAUUUAAAAAAUAAAACUUACAAAUACCUCCAAAUUAUUGGUGUUAAUCUGGCACCUGGUGCUAAUUCCCUUAAUUAUAUGACAAACCCUAUUUAACUGGCAACAUUCCCCCAAUUGCACUGUGAUUGUAAGAAGGAGGGCCGCUCUAAGAUGACAGGCCUAAGGGAUGACCCUUUCAGACAUCGCAAGAACAGCCAUUCAAAAUCUGUGAUUUCUUGAAUAUUGCAACUUCAAACAGUAAUGACACUAACUCCUUCAAGUCCUGGUUGUCCAGUAAGACAAAUGAAUGAGAGGACAGCACAAUGCGGAGACUCUCAAUGGGGAAGGGGUUCAGCACUGCAGCUGGAAUUGCUUGCCAGUUCACUGCUGAAGAGGGUAUAGAUCUGAAAACGACCAAGCCUCUCAUCAGCAGAAAUAAUCAAAAGGCUAGGUUUAUGUUUGCUGAGGAACAUGUUUUGUGGAGAGAGGAGAACUGGUCGAAAGUUCUCUUUAGUGAUAGCAGCAAGUUUAAUUCCUUCGGGUCUGAUGGGAAGCCUUUUGUUUGGUGUCAAACUGGGGAAAGACUGAAAUCCAAGUGCGUAAAGAAGUCAGUGAAGUGUUUUCAACAGUUCCAUUAUAUGAAUCAUGCUGCUCCAGUGAGAUCGUCUGUGUAAAGUUCUUUGCCACAGGAAGUGGCUCAUAGAGCUGAAAUCUCUGUGGAACCACACUCUCAAUUCAAGAAGCAAAGGAAUAAAACCAGAUGGAACAAGAGCGAAGAUGUGAAGAUAGAAAACAAUGGGAGAGGAAAAUGGCAAAAUUACUUUAUUUGGGCAAGCUCAGCUGACUCAGCCGUUUAACAGCUGCUGUAUCAAACCACACAGGAGUAUGAUGACGCUGGUGGUCGCCAGAGGACUUUGAGACAUCCGACAAACACGGGUCAGUUCCUACGAACGUUAACUCAUUUCUGUUCCCUAAGAAUGCCAUGAAAGCAAAGCAAUCGAGAUGGGGGAAGAACGGGAAAGCAUUGCAGCUCUUUCUCAGGUCUGGCUUUGAAUACAUCAGUACAAUGAGAAUGAUGAAUUAAUGCAUUAGUUCGAAAAGUGUCCGUGUUGUCCUGGACUGAGCUCUCAUCUCUAAUGGGUUAUCUGACCAGGCAGCUGCCUGCUCACAACUAUUUGAACAAUGAACCUCCUGGAAGGGAUGCAAAAAUCAGUGCAGCAUCGCAUGAAUAAAUGCAUGCGAACAAACCUGCGAGCACCUGCAGGUUUACUGUGGAGGGCUGAGCUUGAACUUGAUCAGAGGGGUUUUGAGCAUGCUUGGACUGGAAAUUAACAUUCAGGGCUUUGCUGAUCAGGGCAUAAUUUAUUGAUUCACCCCAGUCCUUUUUUUCUUUUUUAUUAGACAUUAGUCUAAUAAUGAUGGCAGUUAUUAAACACUGCCGAUGCAUAGCUGUGAAUCUUCAUCAUCCAGUGACUUAUAUACUCCACUUAUAAUUACAUUGGAUGUCUGGACAAAAAUAUUUCAAACCUGGAAGACUUUGGUCAUGUAAUAUCUUGUUUAUGUUUAUUAAUGUUUGUUCAUGUAAUGUAGAAGUUCACAAGAUUUUUUUGUGAGCCGAACCCCUUUGACCUAAAAUAUUUACUUGACAUUUUUAUGAUUUCAUUAGAACCCCAGUUUGUGAAACUCUAGUGUAAGGUAAUUUUAAUGAAUUUAUAAUAAUGAUAACAGGUAAUGGAUGUCAUAAUAUUGUUAACAAAGAAUCAACUCUUAUCUUUUUCUUUGUUUUGUUGUUAACUUCGUAUCAUGGUACACAAUAAUUCCAUUCAAGUCUAUGUGAUAAAUGAGGUAGGUCAAACAUAAUAUGAAAAUAGUUACCUAAUAUGUGUAAUACAGAUUAUGUUACUGACUUAAUGUGAUUUACUUGCUUUUUUUGUUUGAAUUGUUUAAUGCAAGCAAGGACUGUUCAUCAGAAUUAAGGGGCAUUUGUACAGAUAGCAAUUUGCAACUACCAAAAGUAAAUUUUCAAUGAGUUUCCAGCAGAGUAGCAAUUGUUAGCAAGGGGACAAGUUAUAGACGGUUUAACUUUAUGCAAAUGCAAACUUUAACUUUAUGCAAAUUACCUCCAGCAACUGAUUUGAUGUCAGUGUGAACACACCUUUACCCCCAACAUCAGUUUUAGAAUCUGUCAAGUAAAUGAAAUGGUCGAAAUUAUGCCCUUGUCUUGGUCACUGGUUUGGUUUCCCUGGAUUACCCUUUGCUGUGCCUUUUCCCUGUUGCAAUUGUAUGUACUGAUUGCCCAUGGUAUGACAUUAGAUUGUGUAUUACUACUUUAAUAAAUAUUGCAU